GUAUAUUUGAAUUUUAUAGUGAAAAUAAUCUGUGAAACCAACCAUGCCUUUAUCACAAAGUUUACUAUAUAACCCAAAGGGAUGCAUUAUAGCCAUAGCUUUCUUAGCAUAGUUUCCCAAAAUUCCUGACUCUCAAAAAAAUCCAUUCUAUUAUAAAAAUUCUCAUCUCACAUAAUGUAAGAAAAAGACUUGAACUUUGGUAAAAAAAUAAAUUAACUGACAGGAAUAAGUGAUACUAUAAGUGUAUCAGAAUAACAGGUAUGACUAACUAUGGAUAAACUUUUAUUUUUAAUGUUGCCACAUUCUCACAUUUCCCUUUAUCUAAUCCACUGAACACCACUGAACAAUAAAUCACUUCCUUUCAUAAAGUUUAAUGUUAAAUAUAAACAAAACGCCUUUUAAAUUCUUGUCAAAGGUGACUCAAAUGACAAACAUAGGCAGAUCAUUGGAUGAUUAGAAAAAUAUAUGAAUGUACAAUAGAUUAUGAAAUGUUAUUGAACAAAUACAAAGAAAAUUCAGUGCUCUCUUUUUAACAUUUGUAUUAGUGCAUUGUCAUUUUGCAUAAUAGUGGGGUUGUUUAGACAUAUUAAUGAAUGCAUAUAACAUAAUUUCUCCAUUUUAACCUGUACUGCUCUUUUGUAGAAUGAAGGAACACUGAAGAAUAAAACAGAGGGAGCAUGCGAAAAGCAGGAGGAGACAUGAAGGGAGACCUUAGGUUCUGAAGCAUGUUUAUAAAAAAAAAAAUAAACUCCAGAUUACACUUAGUUGUGACCUUCAGGAAAGUGAUUUUUUUAAAAAAAGAAGUCAGUUGAUUAACUACUACAGUGUAAUAAUUGAAUAUUUAAACUGAAAUGUUUUCUUGAUAUGGAGCCAAUGUAACCAUUAAUACUUAAUUGUGGUGAACCAUAUUUC
rnacentral:lncRNA from 1 species